UGUAUGGGAUAGGUGGGGAGCUAGGCGUACCCUGUACCACAAAUCGUCUUCAUGGUGGGCUGAACGCCUUUGGGCGGCGAAAGCGGCUCCUUGGUUUCUGCAUGCGGACGUUGAUGUCUCGCCCCCACAUGACUCGGGUGCUGUGAACUGUUUCCGGAGGGAAACAGGAAUCGGAUAGCCGGGGGAAUAGGUCAGGCCGGGAACGGAGCAGCCCUACUCGGAGCCAUGGGUGCUGUGGGGUAACGGGAUGGAGGAAGUGUGUGGGUUAAGUCGAGGAGAGCGCACGUCCACCAUUGGAAUUCCCACUUG
rnacentral:SRP_RNA from 1 species